rnacentral:misc_RNA from 1 species
GAUGAAGAACGUAGUGAAAUGCGAUAAGUAAUGUGAAUUGCAGAAUUCAGUGAAUCAUCGAAUCUUUGAACGCACAUUGCGCCCGCCAGUAUUCUGGCGGGCAUGCCUGUUCGAGCGUCAUUUCAACCAUCAAGCCCCCCGGCUUGUGUUGGGGACCUGCGGCUGCCGCAGGCCCUGAAAAGCAGUGGCGGGCUCGCUGUCACACCGAGCGUAGUAGCAUACAUCUCGCUCUGGGCGUGCUGCGGGUUCCGGCCGUUAAACCACCUUCAUAACCCAAGGUUGACCUCGGAUCAGGUAGGAAGACCCGCUGAACUUAAGCAUAUCAAUAAGCGGAGGA